rnacentral:rRNA from 1 species
GACGAACGCUGGCGGCGUGCCUAACACAUGCAAGUCAACUUGACUGAAGGAGCAAUCUGACAGUAGAGUGGCGCAAGGGUGCGUAACGCGUAAGUAACUUGCCCCAAGGUAAGGAAUAACGUCGAGAAAUCGGCGCUAAUACCUCAUAAUGCAGCGGAUCCGCAUGGAUAUGUUGUUAAAGGUUUACCGCCUUGGGAUAGGCUUGCGCCUGAUUAGCUAGUUGGUGUGGUAACGGCACACCAAGGCUACGAUCAGUAACUGGUCUGAGAGGAUGAUCAGUCACACUGGAACUGAGACACGGUCCAGACUCCUACGGGAGGCAGCAGUGAGGAAUAUUGGGCAAUGCUCGAAAGAGUGACCCAGCAACGCCGCGUGGAGGAUGAAGGUAUUCUAUAUCGUAAACUCCUGUGAGAGCAGACGAAAGACAGAUUAUUAAUCUGGAUGACUGUAUGCUCAGAGGAAGCCCCGGCUAACUA